GACGAACGCUGGCGGCGCGCCUAACACAUGCAAGUCGAACGAGCGAGAGAGAGCUUGCUUUCUCGAGCGAGUGGCGAACGGGUGAGUAACGCGUGAGGAACCUGCCUCAAAGAGGGGGACAACAGUUGGAAACGACUGCUAAUACCGCAUAAGCCCACGACCCGGCAUCGGUUGAGGGAAAAGGAGCAAUCCGCUUUGAGAUGGCCUCGCGUCCGAUUAGCUAGUUGGUGAGGUAACGGCCCACCAAGGCAACGAUCGGUAGCCGGACUGAGAGGUUGAACGGCCACAUUGGGACUGAGACACGGCCCAG
rnacentral:rRNA from 1 species